UACAGAGGAGCCAGCGUUGUCCGGAUUGACUGGGCGUAAAGCGCACGCAGGCGGAUGCGCGCGUGGGGUGUGAAAUCUGGCCGCUUAACGGCCAGGCGCCAUCCCAUACGGCGCGUCUGGAGUGAUGCAGAGGUCGAUGGAAUUGCCGGUGUAGUGGUGAAAUGCGUAGAGAUCGGCAGGAACACCCAGGGGGAAACCAGUCGACUGGGCAUCUACUGACGCUGAGGUGCGAGAGCGUGGGGAGCGAACCGG
rnacentral:rRNA from 1 species